rnacentral:rRNA from 1 species
GUCUUUUUGAUUAUAAUUUAAAGUCUGGUCUGCCCACUGAUAAAAAAAUUAAAGGGCUGCAGUAUUUUGACUGUACAAAGGUAGCAUAAUCAUUAGUCUCUUAAUUGGUGACUUGUAUGAAAGAUUUGAUGAAAUAUAAACUGUCUCUUUAUAAUUUGUAAAAUUUAAUUUUUUAGUUAAAAAGCUAAAAUGAUUUUAAAAGACGAGAAGACCCUAUAGAGUUUUAUAAUUUGUUUAAUUUUUGAUUUUUUAUUAAUUUAUUUUUAUUAAAAAUUAAAUUAAUUAUUUUAUUGGGGUGAUAGAAAAAUUUAAUAAACUUUUUUUAAAUAACAAACAUUUAUAAAUGAUUAUAUGAUCCGAUUUUAUCGAUUAAAAGAUUAAAUUACCUUAGGGAUAACAGCGUAAUUUUUUUUUUUAGUUCAAAUAAGAAAAAGAGUUUGCGACCUCGAUGUUGGAUUAAGAUAAAAUUUAAAUGCAAAAGUUUAAAAUUUUGAUCUGUUCGAUCAUUAAAA